rnacentral:rRNA from 1 species
AUACGUAGGUCCCGAACGUUGCGCGAAAUUACUGGGCGUAAAGGGUCCGUAGGCGGUCUGGUAAGUGGAAGGUGAAAGCCUGGGGCUCAACUCCAGAAUUGCCUUCCAAACUGCCGGACUUGAGGCAGGGAGAGGUCGGCGGAAUUCCCGGUGUAGUGGUGAAAUGCGUAGAUAUCGGGAGGAACACCAGUGGCGAAGGCGGCCGACUGGAACUGUCCUGACGCUGAGGGACGAAAGCCAGGGGAGCGAACCGGAUUAGAAACCCGAGUAGUCC